GCCGAAGUGGCGGAAUUGGUAGACGCGCAUGACUCAGGAUCAUGCGAGGGAAACCUCAUGGGGGUUCGAAUCCCCCCUUCGGCA
rnacentral:tRNA from 1 species